GGGGGUUUAGCUCAGCGGCCUAAGCGCCUGCCUUGCAAGCAGGCAGUCCUGAGUUCGAUCCCUGGUACCCAUA
rfam:Cavia porcellus supercont2_30 genomic scaffold, whole genome shotgun sequence.